CACGGGUGAGUAACACGUAUCCAACCUGCCGUCUACUCUUGGACAGCUUUCUGAAAGGAAGAUUAAUACAAGAUGGCAUCAUGAGUCCGCAUGUUCACAUGAUUAAAGGUAUUCCGGUAGACGAUGGGGAUGCGUUCCAUUAGAUAGUAGGCGGGGUAACGGCCCACCUAGUCUUCGAUGGAUAGGGGUUCUGAGAGGAAGGUCCCCCACAUUGGAACUGAGACACGGUCCAA
rnacentral:rRNA from 1 species